GAUGAACGCUGGCGGCGUGCCUAAUACAUGCAAGUCGAGCGAACAGACGAGGAGCUUGCUCCUCUGACGUUAGCGGCGGACGGGUGAGUAACACGUGGAUAACCUACCUAUAAGACUGGGAUAACUUCGGGAAACCGUAGCUAAUACCGGAUAAUAUAUUGAACCGCAUGGUUCAAUAGUGAAAGACGGUUUUGCUGUCACUUAUAGAUGGAUCCGCGCUGCAUUAGCUAGUUGGUAAGGUAACGGCUUACCAAGGCAACGAUGCGUAGCCGACCUGAGAGGGUGAUCGGCCACACUGGAACUGGAACACGGUCCAAACUCCUACGGGAGGCAGCAGUAGGGAAUCUUCCGCAAUGGGCGAAAGCUUGACGGAGCAACGCCGCGUGGGGGAUGAAGGUCUUCGGAUCGUAAAACCUUUUUAAUAGGGAAGAACAAAUGUGGAAGUAACUAUGCACGUCUUGACGGUACCUUAUCAGAAAGCCACGGCUAACUACGUG
rnacentral:rRNA from 1 species